AGUGAACGCUGGCGGUAGGCCUAACACAUGCAAGUCGAACGGCAGCACAGUAAGAGCUUGCUCUUACGGGUGGCGAGUGGCGGACGGGAGAGGAAUAUAUCGGAAUCUACUUUUUCGUGGGGGAUAACGUAGGGAAACUUACGCUAAUACCGCAUACGACCUACGGGUGAAAGCAGUGGAUCUUCGGACCUUGCGCGAUUGAAUGAGCCGAUGUCGGAUUAGCUAGUUGGCGGGGUAAAGGCCCACCAAGGCGACGAUCCGUAGCUGGUCUGAGAGGAUGAUCAGCCACACUGGAACUGAGACACGGUCCAGACUCCUACGGGAGGCAGCAGUGGGGAAUAUUGGACAAUGGGCGCAAGCCUGAUCCAGCCAUACCGCGUGGGUGAAGAAGGCCUUCGGGUUGUAAAGCCCUUUUGUUGGGAAAGAAAAGCAGCAGGUUAAUACCCCGCUGUUCUGACGGUACCCAAAGAAUAAGCACCGGCUAACUUCGUG
rnacentral:rRNA from 1 species